AUGGNNGCUNNGKGGAAAAGGAUGUGAAGAUGCUGAAACAACCAGGAAGUUCGCUUAGAAAAUAGGCUGAUUGUUAUUUGGAUAACAAUCAUAAUCAGGUAAAUUGCAAGGAUACUUAAGCAAAGCUGCUAUAUUGCUUAUGUCGAUUUGCAGCAUAGUUGCUCACAGCUCCGCUGGCUAGCAAAAUGUUCAACGACUAGAAACAAUAAUGUUUCCACGAUCGCCUGACACUCAAACCUAUAGAGUUUGAUUGAUGACAUAGUCUGAACUACAUAGAAUCCAUAAUAUGUAGAGGCAAAAGUUAAAUGCUUUUGUACGAAGAACAUUUGAAUUCUUCGCUCAAAUCAAUGGAUUUGGGUAACACACUUGUAGAAGCAGCUAACUUUUAAAGAGUGCGUAAUAGCUCACUGGUAAAGCGUUUUUGCGCCGACAAUGGCCGGGACUAAGCGGCCUGCCGAAGCUGUGGGAUUUUUUUAUUCUUUUCUAAAGUAAUAAAAAGAAUCGGUAGGGGAGCGUUCGACAAGGGGUGAAGCCAACGCGUAAGCUUUGGUGGACUUUGUUGAAGUGAGAAUGUCGGCUUGAGUAACGAAAACAUUGGUGAGAAUCCAAUGCCCCGAAAACCUAAGGGUUCCUCCACUAGGCUCGUCCAUGGGGGGUGAGUCAGGACCUAAGGCGAGGCCGAAUGGCGUAGUCGAUGGCAAACAGGUUAAUAUUCCUGUACUCAUAAUUAUGAGGACCGAGGGACGAAGAAGGCUAAAUUGUAGCUGUGCAUGGAAUGCAGCGGAAGCGUUCAAGGCGUCGAUAGGNUGAAUAAAAACGWYUCNNUANUUCGGGNGUAGGGGURAWSCCMUKYUYCGKAACUUGNNCGGRWGAAGGGGUMAAKCACUGUUUCGUAACUUCGSGAGAAGGGSUAAAGCACUGNNUUUCGUAACUUCGGGAGAAGGGGUAAAGCACUGUUUYGUAACUUCGGGAGMCAGGGGUAAAGCAC
rnacentral:rRNA from 1 species